AGGAACUUAGCUCAGUUUGGUAGAGCAGCGGAUUCCAAAUCCGUAGGUCUGGGGUUCGAGUCCUCAAGUUCCUGCCA
rnacentral:tRNA from 1 species